rnacentral:piRNA from 1 species
UGGGCCCUGAGAGUCUGAAAUCCUGGAAUU